rnacentral:rRNA from 1 species
CACGUAGGGCGCAAGCGUUUGUCCGGAAUUAUUGGGCGUAAAGGGCUCGUAGGCGGCCAACUAAGUCAUACGUGAAAUCCCUCGGCUUAACCGGGGAACUGCGUCUGAUACUGGAUGGCUUGAGGUUGGGAGAGGGAUGCGGAAUUCCAGGUGUAGCGGUGAAAUGCGUAGAUAUCUGGAGGAACACCGGUGGCGAAGGCGGCAUCCUGGACCAAUUCUGACACUGAGGAGCGAAAGCCAGGGGAGCAAACGGG